rnacentral:rRNA from 1 species
CCUAUGGGGGGCAGCAGGCGCGAAACCUCCACAAUGUACGAAAGUGCGAUGGGGGGAUCCCAAGUGCUAUUCUUAACAGAAUAGCUUUUCAUUAGUGUAAAAAGCUUUUAGAAUAAGAGCUGGGCAAGACCGGUGCCAGCCGCCGCGGUAAUACCGGCAGCUCAAGUGGUAGCUGUUUUUAUUGGGCCUAAAGCGUUCGUAGCCGGUUUAAUAAGUCUUUGGUGAAAGCUUGUAGCUUAACUAUAAGAAUUGCUGGAGAUACUAUUAGACUUGAAGUCGGGAGAGGUUAGAGGUACUACCGGGGUAGGGGUGAAAUCCUAUAAUCCUGGGAGGACCACCUGUGGCGAAGGCGUCUAACUAGAACGAUCUUGACGGUGAGUAACGAAAGCCAGGGGCGCGAACCGGAUUAGAUACCCGCGUAGUCC